rnacentral:rRNA from 1 species
AACGCUGGCGGCGUGCCUAACACAUGCAAGUCGAACGCGAAAGGGAGCAAUCCCCGGUAGCGUGGCAGACGGGUGAGUAACACGUGGGUAACCUACCCGGAGGUGGGGGAUAACCCUUCGAAAGGAGGGCUAAUACCGCAUGAUACCGCGGGGACCUCGGUCCUCGCGAUCAAAGCUGGCCUCUGUUUACAAGCUAGCGCCACCGGAUGGGCCCGCGCCCCAUUAGCUAGUUGGUGAGGUAACGGCUCACCAAGGCGACGAUGGGUAGCCGGCCUGAGAGGGCGAUCGGCCACACUGGAACUGCGACACGGUCCAGACUCCUACGGGAGGCAGCAGUGAGGAAUAUUGCGCAAUGGGCGAAAGCCUGACGCAGCGACGCCGCGUGGAGGAUGAAGGUCUUCGGAUUGUAAACUCCUGUCGAGUGGGACGAAUGCCGUAAGGGUUAACAGCCCUUGCGGUUGACGGUACCGCUGGAGGAAGCCCCGGCUAACUCCGUGCCAGCAGCCGCGGUAAUACGGAGGGGGCUAGCGUUGUUCGGAAUCAUUGGGCGUAAAGGGCGCGUAGGCGGCCGAUCAAGUCGGAGGUGAAAUCCCUCGGCUCAACUGAGGAAUUGCCUUCGAUACUGUUCGGCUUGAGUCCUGGAGAGGGUAGCGGAAUUCCCGGUGUAGCGGUGAAAUGCGUAGAGACCGGGAAGAACACCAGUGGCGAAGGCGGCUACCUGGACAGGUACUGACGCUGAAGCGCGAAAGCUAGGGGAGCAAACAGGAUUAGAUACCCUGGUAGUCCUAGCUGUAAACGAUGGGCACUUGGUGUUGCGGGUAUCGACCCCUGCAGUGCCGAAGCUAACGCAUUAAGUGCCCCGCCUGGGGAGUACGGUCGCAAGGCUGAAACUCAAAG